UGGGGCGGAGCUUCCGGAGGCC
rnacentral:miRNA from 1 species